GCAAACUGCGAAUACCGGAGAAUGUUAUCACGGGAGACACACGGCGGGUGCUAACGUCCGUCGUGAAGAGGGAAACAACCCAGACCGCCAGCUAAGGUCCCAAAGUCAUGGUUAAGUGGGAAACGAUGUGGGAAGGCCCAGACAGCCAGGAUGUUGGCUUAGAAGCAGCCAUCAUUUAAAGAAAGCGUAAUAGCUCACUGGUCGAGUCGGCCUGCGCGGAAGAUGUAACGGGGCUAAACCAU
rnacentral:rRNA from 2 species